CGGCGGAUGGGUGAGUAGCACAUGGGCAACCUGCCUGUAAGAUUGGGAUAACUCGCGGAAACGUGAGCUAAUACCAAAUAAUCCUUUACAUCUCCUGAUGUUUAGGUAAAAGGCGGCAUUUUGCUGUCACUUACAGAUGGGCCCGUGGCGCAUUAGCUAGUUGGUGGGAUAAAAGCCUACCAAGGCAACGAUGCGUAGCCGACCUGAGAGGGUGAUCGGCCACACUGGGACUGAGACACGGCCCAGACUCCUACGGGAGGCAGCAGUAGGGAAUCUUCCGCAAUGGACGCAAGUCUGACGGAGCAACGCCGCGUGAGUGACGAAGGUCUUCGGAUCGUAAAACUCUGUUGUUAGGGAAGAACAUGUAUCGUUCGAAUAGGGCGGUACCUUGACGGUACCUAACCAGAAAGCCCCGGCUAACUACGUGCCAGCAGCCGCGGUAAUACGUAGGGGGCAAGCGUUGUCCGGAAUUAUUGGGCGUAAA
rnacentral:rRNA from 1 species